GAUGAACGCUGGCGGCGUGCCUAAUACAUGCAAGUCGAGCGGACGGACGAGGCGCUUGCUUCUCUGAGGUUUGGGGCGGACGGGCGAGUAACCCGUGGAUACCCUCCCUAUAAGACUGGGAUCACUUCGGGAAACCGUAGCUCACCCCGGAUAAUAUUUUGAACCGCAUGGUUCAAAAGUGAAAGACGGUCUUGCUGUCACGUAUAGAUGGAUCCGCGCUGCAUUAACUAGUUGGUAAGGUAACGGCUUACCAAGGCAACGAUGCAUAGCCGACCUGAGAGGGUGAUCGGCCACACUGGAACUGAGACACGGUCCAGACUCCUACGGGAGGCCGCAGUAGGGUACCUUCCGCACUGGGCGACAGCCUGACGCAGCCACCCCGCGUGAGUGGCGAAGAUCGCCGGAUCGUUAAACCCUGUUGCUAGGGAAGAACAUAUGUCGAAGUAGCUGCGGCCGGCUUGACGGUACCUAGUCAGAAAGCCCCGGCUAACUACGUG
rnacentral:rRNA from 1 species